rnacentral:misc_RNA from 1 species
AUAUUUUUUUUUAAACUUAGGGUCAACUCAACCAAGUAAACCACAAGAACAACAAGGGAGCAUUCAACCAACUGGGCAACAGACACUACAAGUCUCAUGCAGAUAUUGUUUGUGUGUGACAUGUACGCAUUCUUUUGAUCUGUGCUUCGUCUGCUUUCAACCCAGAAAAAAAUGCGGAGAGAGCACCGAAGCCAACGAGAAUAUGGGACUACCAGACCUAUGUAGAUACUGUGAGUUUGAGAAUUGUACGCAUUGUUCUUCUAAGUGCGUGGUCUGUGGAAAACCCAGGAGAAGGUGUAAAAAUAUGUUGUGUACUUUGGAAACAUUGAGAAUUGCCAGUCGCUGAGAUGCAAGUUGGAAUUUGUUACGUCAUUGGAAAUACGUACAACACCAUCAACAAAAUAAAGACUGGGAAGCACUCCCAAGGAAAUCAUUGAACUGCCCACUUUAGAGCAGUUGAAGGAUGCCAUCGAAACCAUGUAAUUGGUAGUUAUAUUGUAUAUAGUCGCACGCACAUAGCAUUGUUAUUGCACUGACUCAGCUGUCUGUUGGCGGCUGAGCACCCUCGUCCAGAUGCUGAUUGGCUUUGACGAGUAUCGUAGAUUUUGCUGUCCCAAACUCCCACAGACAGUUAGUUACCGGUCCUCGUCUCUACAGUGACUAAUAAUGAUAUUUAGAAAUAUACGUUUAUUGGCAAGUAAUAUUGUUGUAAUGUCUACCUUAAAAAACUUUAACAUAUAGAUUAAACAAAAAUAUGUCUACCAUUUGAGGUGACCAAGAGUGCACUAAUACGGUUUGAAUUGUCCCUCAGAGUAAAUUAAUGAAAAUAUAGUUCGCUGUUAUAUAUUAUUAAGAGUAAUAGUUUUACAGGAGUUCGGAACUAAUAAGGGAGAUGUAAAAUGUAUUGAUAUUGUCGGCACUGAUUAUUUCUUCUCCCCUCCCCCCUCGUGUUUGAUCUGUAAUUGGUUUGGGUUUAACAAUGCAAGAUCCACUCAUUCGCAUAUAUAAGGGAACAGUGGAUUGUUGAAAUAUAUAUAUAUAUAUAUAUAUAUAUAUAUAUAUAUAUAUAUUCUAAAACAUAACUACAAAAACAAAUACAAAUACGGAGAAAGGGGAAGGGGAAAGAGAGAGUAAUGUAGUGUUAACAAAAUUUACACAUAUAAAAAUCAACAUGGGUUUUUCGCCGACGAACUUCAUUUUGUAGAUCUUUUCGUAUCCCCUCUCUUUUCCUUGAUAGAAAUGAAGUCAAUUUUAUCCAAUAUGUGGUGUAAAAAAUCAGGAAUCGCUUAUGUAUAUGAGUAGACCAAAAAUCUUAACAAGAAAAGUUAAUUGAAUUUUUUUUUUAAUUAAAAGGGUAAAGGGAAAAGAAUGGAAAAAGGUAAAAAGAAUUAAAUAAUUAUCACUAUAACCAUAAGACUCUUAUUAGAGGAGACUGAAAAAUUGCUUUUCGUAUUUUCUGUUUUUGAAUGAAUCAUUGUUAUUUCUUUGAUUGCAUUGUAAAUGUAUUCUUUGGGAAUUAUGAAAAUUAAACUUUAACAUACUACAUUAUAGACGGGAGUUCUUAUCUAGUGCACUGAUGAAGCCAAUUAUUGUUUCAGGAAACAAUGGUCAUUUAAGUCUCCUAAAGACAUUUCGGAACAUCUGUUUUUAAAAUUGUUGAAAGUUCUAAUUUAUAUACUACACUGUAUUACAUAUACAAUAAUCGUAUAAUUACACAAUAGUCAUCAACCACAAAAUGCUAGUGAUUUACAUGAAAGAAAUCAGAGAGGCUACAAACACGGUUCACAUGCGUGGUACUGCUUUAUUAGCACACUAUUGCAGCAACGGUUGUAAUAAUUAUUUGGUUCGAAAUUGCCUUAUAUUGUGUCUGUAUGGACGUUUAGAAUUACAUACUACAACCAUUAUUAUAGGCCCUAACGUAUAACCAUUAGUUAAGUUUUAGUAACAAAUUAAAUACAAAUAAUAUUAAGCAUACAAUGUCUUGGUAUUUAUAACGUUGAUAUAAUCUUAUACCAAAUAAUACAGUAGAACACCUAUUAAGGGAACACCUUCGGGACCAAAAAGUGUCCCUCCCUGAAUAGCGGGACCCCUAUUAUUGGGAUACUAACUAUUAUAAUAAAAUCAAAAUAAAUAUGAUUAAAACAACAAAAGUUGUAUAUUGUUCAAGAUCCCAGUCCAAUGAAAGAUAUAUGGACAGGGUAAUGACUUAGAAAUCAGGGUGAGGGUUAAGGCAUGGAUUGGAACCUAGAAUUCUACAAAGUACACACACACAAAUAAAUUCCAUGAAUAGGAUGAAUAAGAAUCAAAUCGUAUUAAGAAAGUACGCAGAAAAAAAUAAUAAUUUCCAUGAUUAAUUUACACAAAGUAACAAACACAAUGGGCCAAUACCGAUGUCCAUUCCUUUAUUAGGAGUUGGUCGUACUGUUUAGGUUAAAAUAUAUUUCACCUUGUUUCACGGAAAAGAGUUUCUUUAUUAGGGUUGUCCCAAAAGAGGUUUUACUGUAUAAUAUUACUAAAUAGUAGCGAUGAACGUGUAUUAUUCAAUUUCAUAUGAUGAAUUUACUAUAAUAUUAAAAAACUCAUCAUAUCAUAUAUAUCAUAUCAUAUAGGCCUAUAAUAAUAUAUAAAGGAAUUGAAAUUUAUGGAAAACAAAUCAAUAAUUAUGAUAACGUAAUGAUUCACACGUUUGUAAUUAUCUUCAUGGUAAUGCAAGAAUUUUAGGCUCAUUGCAUGUCUUCCUAUUUUGCAGUGGUUUGUGUUGUUGAAUCUGCUGGGUUUUUUCUUUAGUUUAUGUUAGGCCAAGGAAAAAAAAUACUAGUGUCUCGUCUCUUCGCGCAUCCUUUUUCUCUACUUACCAAUUUUUCAUUUUAAAAAAAUUUACUUUAUUUUACGAAAUGUAAGAAAGUCUGGCUAAAUCACAUCAGUAAAAUUCCUCUCUUGUGGUUGGGGAUACAUAUAGUAUGAAUCAUGUCUCGUGCUUCCUUUAUUUACUUUCAAUGUGUCUACUUGGUAAAAUUGAGAAAGAAGUAGCUGUUUCUUAUCGACCAUUUUGGAUUUCCCUUCUCGGAUUAAAAACAAAAAUUGCCCUCAUUCUCCUUUUUCGAAAUAUUAGGACGAGAAACUACUUUUUUUUUUACUUGGCCUUAUAGGCUUGUCAUAUAAGUGAUACUGAGCUCUAAUAAAUCCAACUCUACUGCA